rnacentral:rRNA from 1 species
UUGGAGGGCAAGUCUGGUGCCAGCAGCCGCGGUAAUUCCAGCUCCAAUAGCGUAUGUUAAGGUUGCUGCAGUUAAAAAGCUCGUAGUUGAAUUUCGGGAUCAGAUUGUCGGUCGUGCCUCGGUACGCACUGGCAUUAUUGGUUCCUACCUUCUGAAGAACCGCGAUGUCAUUAAUUUGGUGUCAUGGGGAAUCAGGACUGUUACUUUGAAAAAAUUAGAGUGUUUAAAGCAGGC